AGUGAACGCUGGCGGUAGGCCUAACACAUGCAAGUCGAACGGCAGCACAGUAAGAGUUUGCUCUUACGGGUGGCGAGUGGCGGACGGGUGAGGAAUACAUCGGAAUCUACUUUUUCGUGGGGGAUAACGUAGGGAAACUUACGCUAAUACCGCAUAUGAUCCACGGGUGAAAGCAGUGGAUCUUCGGACCUUUCGCGAUUGAAUGAGCCGAUGUCGGAUUAGCUAGUUGGCGGGGUAAAGGCCCACCAAGGCGACGAUCCGUAGCUGGUCUGAGAGGAUGAUCGGCCACACUGGAACUGAGACACGGUCCAGACUCCUACGGGAGGCAGCAGUGGGGAAUAUUGGGCAAUGGGCGCAAGCCUGAUCCAGCCAUACCGCGUGGGUGAAGAAGGCCUUCGGGUUGUAAAGCCCUUUUGUUGGGAAAGAAAAGCAGCAGGUUAAUACCCCGCUGUUCUGACGGUACCCAAAGAAUAAGCACCGGCUAACUUCGUG
rnacentral:rRNA from 1 species